rnacentral:siRNA from 1 species
CUAAUGUUGGUGUACGUAUG